rnacentral:rRNA from 1 species
UACGUAGGGGGCAAGCGUUGUCCGGAAUCAUUGGGCGUAAAGAGCGUGUAGGCGGCCAGAAAAGUCCGCUGUGAAAACUCGAGGCUCAACUUCGAGCUGUCGGUGGAAACUUUCUGGCUAGAGUUCGGUAGGGGAGUGUGGAAUUCCGGGUGUAGCGGUGAAAUGCGUAGAUAUCAAGAGGAACACCUGAGGUGAAGACGGGUUGCUGGGCCAACACUGACGCUGAGGCGCGAAAGCCAGGGGAGCAAACGGG